UCCACCAAACAAUACGGCACAGGAACUUAAAGAGAGCAGCUUUAACAUCAAGGAUAAAUGGAGAGAGGACUGGAUUGCCAACUUGCCCAGGGCAUCCCAUGCUAGUUACGACCCCACCCACAAACCGCCAGGUUUUUCGGCCCCGAGACGGGAAUGGAGCCAACUAAAUAAACUCCGCACUAAAAUCGGGCGAUCCGGAGAAUUUAUGUUUAAGUGCGGGUGGCGAUAUACACCGAAGUGCUACUGUGGAGCACCUGUACAUUCCAUUUCCCACAUUGUUCACGAGUGUCCAAAAAGAAAGUACCCAGGAGAUCCUCUGGACUUACUUAAAUAAGCUAAGCGAAAACGCAGCCCAUUGGGUGAAGAACCUAGAUAUUAAUUUGUAAAUUUGUAAAGCGACCAUGAAUUGUAUUAAUGCCAUACGACUAAAUAAAUAAAUAAAU